rnacentral:rRNA from 1 species
CCUACGGGAGACAGCAGUGGGGAAUAUUGGACAAUGGGGGGAACCCUGAUCCAGCGACGCCGCGUGAAGGAAGAAGGCUUUCGGGUUGUAAACUUCUUUUAAGAGGGAAGAGCAGAAGACGGUACCUCUUGAAUAAGCCACGGCUAACUACGUGCCAGCAGCCGCGGUAAUACGUAGGUGGCAAGCGUUGUCCGGAUUUACUGGGUGUAAAGGGCGUGUAGCCGGGCUGACAAGUCAGAUGUGAAAUUCCGGGGCUCAACCCCGGACCUGCAUUUGAAACUGUUGGUCUUGAGUAUCGGAGAGGCAGGCGGAAUUCCUAGUGUAGCGGUGAAAUGCGUAGAUAUUAGGAGGAACACCAAUGGCGAAGGCGGCCUGCUGGACGACAACUGACGGUGAGGCGCGAAAGCGUGGGGAGCAAACAGGAUUAGAUACCCGAGUAGUC